rnacentral:rRNA from 1 species
UACGAAGGUGGCGAGCGUUGUUCGGAAUCACUGGGCUUAAAGCGCACGUAGGCGGCCCAUCAAGUGCCUUGUGAAAUCCCCCGGCUCAACCGAGGAAUUGCUUGGCAUACUGUUCGGGCUUGAGGCAGGUAGGGGCGAGUGGAACUCUUGGUGGAGCGGUGGAAUGCGUAGAUAUCAAGAGGAACGCCGGAGGCGAAAGCGACUCGCUGGGCCUGUCCUGACGCUGAGGUGCGAAAGCCAGGGGAGCAAACGGG